GUUUCUGAGAUUGUCAGCUAAGCUAAUUCUCUUUGUAAAUUGGCAAAAAAAAAAAAAAAAAAAACAACCAAAAACAAAAAAAAAAAAAACCCAACAACUUCAGGUUGGAAUCUGCUCUUUCAUGUACAUUACAUGGCUUACAGCUCAAGAGAUGUUUCCAAGUCUCUGACUAGCCAGAACUCCGGAGAGGUUCACAAGUUCCAAAGGUUGGAGCUUCCAGGAUGGGUGUCCCUCUGUGCGGCUGUGUGACAGGGACCGAGAGCCGGUGAGACCUGUGCCUGUAUAUUAGCAGCUGCGUUUGUUUAUUGCCUGUGUAUUCUAGAGACUGUAAACUUUCUUUCCUUUUCCAGAAUGUCUGGUCGGUACAAUGAAACAUCAGUUUCCCUGUGGGCCACUUAGGCAAGACUUGUCACUCAGCUUAGGAGCAAAGCUGUAGUGUGAUAUCAGUGACAUCAGGGUGCCAUUGUAGAGCAAAGUGUCAAACCCCAGAGUGUUCCUCAGGGCAAAGGGCUUUCGGGUUUUUUUUUGUUGUUGUUGUUGUUUUUUGUUUUUUUCCUGUAGCCAGAAACCUAGAGAGCCAAUAGGAACCUUUUUGACUUUCAACCAAUAUUGGAAGUUUGGUUGAAGUUUGGGUGUGAUGACCCAGGGACACAGAAGCAAACAGGAAGUUAAAGGGGGGCUUCCAGACUGGUUUCCAGUGCUUUGGUAGUGGCUGUCUUGCCAGUCAGUCAUGGGGCCCAGACAACCGACUUCUGGCCUGUGCGGAGGCCAGGCCCUCCUGGCUUCCUUCCGUAUGGUUUGUUAAGCUCUUUACUGUGGUCUAGCCGCUAUCCCUGCUGUCACAUAAGCAGUUAGGAUCCAGGUACAGACUGCAGUGUGGGGAGGGUCUGUGUGACCAAGGACUUCCUGUCACUUUUCCCUUUUUAAAAUUGAAGGAGAAACAGCCCAGUAGCUCCACCCUUUCUGGCCACAGAUGGCAUUCCGUUAGUUUGCAAUAGCCACCUUAUGGUUAAAGCCAACAGGUCAUACAGCUUGGUCCCAGCUCGUCUGCCUGGACGCUGAGCGGCCUGCCCGAGUAGGGUAGGCGUGAUACAGAGCUCUGCAGAAUUCUUGUGUUUACACAACCCCUCUGGGCAAUGCCGUGGUUUCUCUCGACAGGAUGUCUUAAGAUUGUCGGCAAUCACGCAGCCACCAGCUGCUCAGGAAGAAGGAAUCGAGAGGUCUGCAUGGGUAACUUUUUUUCUUAAAGAAACACCAAAGAAAGCUGUGGAAAGGAGUGACUCCCCCCCCCCCCGUCCCCCUCCCCCCACCCCCAUCCUGCCCAGCUGCCGUGGAAAGUGUAAGAGGUCCAGCCAUAACUAGAGCAUUAGAGCACAAAUAAUUGUUUUUCAAAAGUAUCAUUAGUGAGGAGAGGAGCCGGGCAGAGUGGCUUUUCUCUGUGGGCAGAUGGGCUGCCCACAAUUCCUUCCAUGGCUGGUUCACCCGUGAUUCGCGUGUAAGCAGCUUGGCCUUGAAAGCACAAGCCUCGUUCCUCUCUUUCUGUCUUUAUUGCCUCCCCCCAUGCGUCUCAUAGGCUCCCAGAACACCUUACAGAGCCCCUUGUUCUCCCUUGGGGCUGCAUAGGCCACCUCCCAGGGUCUGGCCUUUCCAGGGGACAGAAUCCUUAUCCUUGAACCUUUCUAGGCGCAGGAUAACAUCUGUGCAAGUUGACACCAGGUUAGGCCUGCAACUCUCGCCCAUCCUCCAGGGGGCGCACUUUACAUUGCCAACCACAGCCUCCAUUGGCUCCCAAGGUGCUAGGGAAGAUUGUUGGUUUCUGUCUUCUCCAGCUCUGUGGGUUCGAGUUUCGUGGGACUUGGGACUUUUAUAUUUGGUGACCAGUGCCCUCCGCUUCUGUUUGACUCCCCGUGACCUCUCUACUAUGCAUUUCCCUUUUUAUCAGGUGUAUAAAGUUAAAUACUGUGUAUUUAUCACUUACAAGAACAUGAACUU
rnacentral:lncRNA from 1 species